GAUGAACGCUAGCGGCAGGCUUAAUACAUGCAAGUCGAGGGGCAGCGGGGGUAGCAAUACCUGCCGGCGACCGGCAAACGGGUGCGGAACACGUACACAACCUUCCUUUAAGCGGGGGAUAGCCCAGAGAAAUUUGGAUUAAUACCCCAUAGAAUGUUAGUGAGGCAUCUCACAGGCAUUAAAGAUUUAUCACUUGAAGAUGGGUGUGCGUCUGAUUAGGUAGUUGGCGGGGAACGGCCCACCAAGCCAGCGAUCAGCAACUGGUGUGAGAGCACGACCAGUCACACGGGCACUGAGACAC
rnacentral:rRNA from 1 species